AUUGUUCUAUCAAAGGAGAUGAACUAUCUUGUAAAAGUAAAGUUUUUCAAGUAGCAAUU
rnacentral:tRNA from 1 species